rnacentral:rRNA from 1 species
GGAGGCCACUGCUAUUGGGAUCCGACUAAGCCAUGCGAGUCGAGAGGGUUCGGCCCUCGGCAGACUGCUCAGUAACACGUGGAUAACCUACCCUUAGGUGGAGGAUAAUCUCGGGAAACUGAGAAUAAUACUCCAUAGAUCUAGGAUGCUGGAAUGCACCUAGAUUGAAAGCUCUGGCGCCUAAGGAUGGGUCUGCGGACUAUCAGGUUGUAGUCAGGGUAAAGACCUGACUAGCCUACGACGGAUAUGGGUUGUGAGAGCAAUAGCCCAGAGACGAUAUCUGAGACACGAUAUCGGGCCCUACGGGGCGCAGCAGGCGCGAAAUCUUCACAAUGUGCGAAAGCACGAUGAGGGGAUCCCAAGUGCUGGCACGUAAGUGUCAGCUGUUUCUUUGUCUAAAAAACAAAGAGAGUAAGAGCUGGGUAAGACGGGUGCCAGCCGCCGCGGUAAUACCUGCAGCUCAAGUGGUGGCCGCUAUUAUUGGGCCUAAAACGUCCGUAGCCGGUUUAGUAAAUGCUUGGGUAAAUUGUGUAGCUUAACUAUACGAAUACCGGGUAGACUGCUAAACUUGGGACCGGGAGAGGCUAGAGGUACUCCUAGGGUAGAGGUGAAAUUCUGUAAUCCUAGGGGGACCACCAGUGGCGAAGGCGUCUAGCUAGAACGGGUCUGACGGUGAGGGACGAAGCCCUGGGGCGCAAACCGGAUUAGAUACCCGGGUAGUCCAGGGUGUAAACGCUGCUUGCUUGAUGUUAGUUGGGCUCCGAGCCCAACUAGUGUCGGAAAGAAGUUGUUAAGCAAGCUGCCUGGGAAGUACGGUCGCAAGACUGAA